AGUUUUGGACUCAUAUUACAAAUUAAUAUCUGAGUUAAUUCGGAGUGCAUACAGUAAUAUGUGUUUGUCGUACUCACAUCGAUGUAUGUUGUCGACUGUGGGCAGUAGCAUUCACCACANUAUU
rnacentral:snoRNA from 1 species